rnacentral:lncRNA from 1 species
ACCAAACAACCACAUUACAUCUUGGAUUUUUCAACACAACUUAGUCCUAGCUGACGCAUAAGUGCAUCCCACCUGUCAUUUCCAGUUGUCUGUCCUAGCAGACCCUGAUCCCUAGUUAGCUGCCCUUUCAGUGCCUUGCUUAAUCUGUCCUACCAAGCUCACUGCCACACAACUCGGGCGAUGUAACCUUGAGUGAGCUCCCUCUGUAGCUCACACUGGAGCUGUUAGACAGUGGGUUCAUUAAAGCUAUCUUCUUCCAUCUCCGGUAGCCCAGCCCGUGUGGCCGGCCCCCGUCCAUUCUCACGCUCCUGGUGCGCCAGAUGCUAUCAGUACCCUGCCUACCACCACCAGCACCCAGCCACCCACUACCACCAGUCCCCAGCUCAACACCAACACCCCGCCUGCACUGUCUCCCCUUGCCCUGCUGCACUGCUCCAGAACUCCCUGCCAUGUCCCUGUGCUUCCCCUUCUUCCCAGCCCCCGCUCCCAGGUCGUCAUUGUCUGCCAGUUGCUGCUUUGCCUUGCAGUGCAGCGUACAUAAAUUCAUGCAUUCUCGGGGAGGCACGGCUUCAUCAUGCCAUGGACAUCCCGACACACGAUGCCCUUUUUUCAGCUCUUACAACGCAGCCUCCUCUGGGCUCGCCCUUUUAGAUCCUGCAGUGGAGAAUGCGGCACAAAUACCACAGAUGGGACGAUGAGAAAGUGGCCUUACAUAGUCUGAUAACCUCCUCAUUGGACCCCUUACUUAGACCCUCAUCGCAGAUUGCGGUGAUAUACCACACUUGCAGCGUCCAAUCAUCUGGGUGUGCCCGUCACCCACGAGGCCGAGGCGCCGACACAAGGGCUGCUGCCUCUUUGUCACUCUAGACCGGCUCCACUUCAGGCUGCAUGGCCUGACAUGACGUGACGCGGAAGCAGGAUAUCCACUAGCACUUAUGGCCAUUCGCUGGCCCUACCUGCGAGUCAGGAGCUGCCGGCCUAUUUAGACAACCGCGUCAGUACCACAACGAAGUGCAGGGCGCACGGGAGCCGAUGGCGGGAAAGAUGUGUAGCGGCGAGGGUGAAGACGGCCUGCAAGGAGUGCGGGGACUGUGAUAUAAGAAUAGCAGCGGGCAGCAACCCUGCUUGUAUGGCUAAAUCCUAACUCCUGCUGCAGAGCUGCUUCGGAUUUGCUUCAGAUUAGGAAUCCAUUUUUUUGUCCUCAGCUGUUAUAUCG